rnacentral:lncRNA from 10 species
AGAGGAGUAGCAAAAUGGGAGGAAGGUGCUGUGACUAAAUGAAGGAAGGCUGAGGGGUUAAAAUCAUUGCUGGGUGAUUUCACCACUACUGCCCCAUAUUCAUACUCUCGGUAAAUGAAUGAGGAGAGCCCCAUGUGGGAUUACAAACUUGCUGGAAAUGGAUGAGAAACCUUCUGCUCUGCUGGAGUUUAUCUUGAGUGUGCCUUAAAAUUCCAUUUCAUGGAGAACUGUGCGUGGUUGAAUUUUGAUUGAUUACUCAAUUAACUGAUGUAUUGGUAGAGUGAUUAAGAAAGAAGACUUUGGGAUCAGACCAACCUGGUUUUGAAUUCAAGCUCAGCAACUUACUAGGUAAGGAGGAGAAAAGAAAGAAGGAAAAAUUGGAAAGAUAAAUGGGGUCUUUCCAGUGAAGCUGCAGUUAUGGCAUUAACCACCCAGUUGUUACCUACUUCUAGAUGAAAGCUCAAUUUUCCUACAUAAUUAAGAGUUUGGAAUUCGGGCAAUAUCAAGAACCACAUCUGUCCUGAAAUCAAUUAUCUCUGUUUGAAACACAAGAAAUAAGAAGACCAUUUUGAGAAGAACAGAGAGUAGCCUUAAGAAAAUCCCUGUCGCAAGCACUCUGGGAUUUGGACUCAAAUGCUAAUUAUACAGAACCACUUGGGUGCCCAGCUGCUGUCCAUUCUCUACACUUAUCCCACCUGAUGGAAGGCUGUUAAGAAAAACAUCACUGCAAUGCCUAAUAAACAGACAUGGGUCCCAGACCCAAUAAGAGUGAAACCAUCCCCCUAUUUAAAUGAAAUUAUGGCUGAUGAGAAAGACAAAUUAAUUUCUCUGUCCCUAGUAUUACACAAAACUUUGGAUGCUGCCAUUGUUACAAUUUUAUUUUCCCCAGGAGCUCAGAGUCCCACCUUCAUUCUUUUUGUUUAAUGCUUAAGCUUGCCUGUCCACCUAUGGAAGACUAGAAUGAGCAAAGACCAUGUAUUCAAUGAUCUGUAAAUCUAACAGGAAACAAUAUAAUAAAUAUAUUGUGUUUGCUAACCAAAUCUGUGAAUGAUUAGAUCGACUGGUUAAUGAUUAGAUGGAUUAACACAUCAUUUCUAUUUUCUCUCUCCUCCCCUACUUCUUGUUUUAAUGAUACCUUCCAAGUUUUAUUUCUCCAAGCCUAACCCCUUACAUAAUACAAGAGGACAACAGUUUGCAAAAUAAAUAUCUGUUGGCCCUAACUGGUAAAUACUGAAAUAGAUUUCAAGUAAUGUGAGUGUUUUUGAAACCACCUAAAUCUGUAAGCCACCCUGCAAGGAACAAGGGUAGCAAAGUGAAUAAGCCAGACAUGUAAAAAUAAAGAUGACAAAAUGGAAGGCAAUUAAUGCCUGUAAUGGAGGUGGGGAAGGGGGGAAUGACAAGUUAAUAAGAAAUUUAUUUUUAAAUGCUAUCAUCUGCCAUAAAAUAUCCAUGCUUAUUUUAGAAAAUAUGUAAAAUGUUUAAGAAUUAAACAUCUUUAAAAAAAUCACAUGAACUCAUCACCCUGCAACAAAACACACACAGAUGAGUGCACACACUUAAACACACAUUAAUUUUCAAUUAGUAUAUAAAGUUAAUAUCCUGCUAAGUACAAGAUACUAUAUCAUGAGCACUUUGUCUC